UGAACUACGAACGGCGACUCGAAGCGGCGGCGAAAAUUACACUCGAGAAGGAGGCGCAAUUACCUCCGGAUUGUAGAGAAUUUGGGGUCACGUCGAAUCUAAAGCGUCACCAAGUCGAAGGUGUCUCUUGGCUUGUAUCUACUCGGUGUCAAUGUCGUUCUCGGACUGGAACAGAUGGGAUUGGGAAAGACUCUCCAGGCAAUUUCUUUCCUGAGUUAUUUGAAGUUUCAUCAAGACUUGCCUGGCUCAUUUCGUGAGUCAAUGUGAUCUGCUUGUCACAUUUUUCCUAGUUUCUCUGGGUUAGUAUACAAAUUCUGAUGUCAAGAAGAGCUCUAAGGGACAUUUGUUACCAUUUGAUGUGUUGCUGACAACAUAUGACAUAGCACUGGUGGAUCAGGACUUUCUUUCUCAAAUUUCUUGGCAGUAUGCUAUAAUUGACGAUGCUCAAAGACUCAAGAAUCCCAACAGCAUACCAGUUGAGGUCAGGGCUGCCUUGGAGCCUAUCAAGGAUAAUGAAGAAGCUGUGAAAGCCUAUGGUAUUCACCUUGGAACUAAGAUGUGUAAAAAGAUGUGGCUCAUGGAAUCAAGUCUCUUCAUCUCUAUACUCUGAACAUGGAGAAGUCAGCUCUGGCUAUAUUGAGAGAUGUGUAAAAUUUUUAUAUUGUUAUUCUCCCCCCCUCACCUCUGAUCGAUCUACUUCUGGAGGGGAAUAUGACUUGUUCUUUUUUUUUUUUAAGUCUUUCCUAUCUUUCUGUAAUUCAUUGAUUACAUAAUAGAAAACGUACUUUUUCUACA